rnacentral:rRNA from 1 species
AACGAACGCUGGCGGCAGGCCUAAAACAUGCAAGUCGAACGCCCCGCAAGGGGAGUGGCGCACGGGUGAGUAACGCGUGGGAACGUGCCCUUCAGUACGGGACAACGUCGGGAAACUGACGCUAAUACCGUAUAAUAUCUCCGGAUCAAAGAUUUAUCGCUGAGGGAGCGGCCCGCGUCUGAUUAGCUAGUUGGUGAGGUAAUGGCUCACCAAGGCUACGAUCAGUAGCAGGUCUGAGAGGAUGAUCUGCCACACGGGGCGUGAGACACGGCCCAGACUCCUACGGGAGGCAGCAGUUAGGAAUAUUGGACAAUGGGGGAAACCCUGAUCCAGCCAUGCCGCGUGUGUGAUGAAGGCCCUAGGGUUGUAAAGCACUUUCGUUGGGGAUGAUAAUGACCGUACCCAAAGAAGAGGCCACGGCUAAAUUCGUGCCAGCAGCCGCCGUAA